rnacentral:rRNA from 1 species
AAUGAACGUUGGCGGCGUGGAUUAGGCAUGCAAGUCGAGCGCAAACCUCCGUUCGGGAGGUGGAAAGCGGCGAAAGGGAGAGGAACACGUGGAUUAUCUACCCCUGGAACCAGGAUAGCUGCGGGAAACUGCAGGUAAUACUGGAUAACGUCUCCGGACCAAAGGUGUGAUUCCGUCCAGGGAUGAGUCUGCGUCCUAUUAGC